AGUGCCUAGUUUCAAGUUUCAACUUCAACACUUGCAGGGACAUGUUAAAUUAUAAGGCAGCAAAAUGCGGAGCUGCCAUUACAACAGACUAUACUUAUGUCAAAGUCAUCAAGAUGUUACUCUGCUACUGCUAAUAGGGAAAAGAACCGGGCAUAAUAAGUAUUGUCAUAAGACUACUUAAGCAGCUUGUUGCUUCAAAUUUGGGAGUGGUUGCCAAAGGAAGAUGAUUUGCAGUUGAAAUAAUUGGGAUUACUAUGAGUUUGAUCAUAAGUCUACUCAAGUUGCAAAAUCAAUUAGUUUUGAAUGUUGCAUGUUCUAAACAGUUGAAAGUAUUAUUCUAGUUUAUGUUCUGUAUGUAUUGGAAAGCACAUGAUACAUCCAAUUAUUGAUUAUAAAUGGACUAUAAGCAAGUAUAUGUUUAAUACAAUGGACUAUAUAGUUUGUGUUCAUAUUUAUUUGAAUUUGUAUUAGUUCCUGCUUAA